GAUAAAAUUAAAUGGCCGCAGUAUUUUAACUGUGCAAAGGUAGCAUAAUCAUUAGUCUUAUAAUUGAAGGCUUGUAUGAAUGGUUGGACGAAAUAUUAACUGUUUCAUAAAAAUUUAGUUAGAAUUUUAUUUUUUAGUUAAAAAGCUAAAAUUUUUUUAAAAGACGAGAAGACCCUAUAGAUCUUUAUAAUUUAUUUAUUAUAGUUAUAUAGAUUAUUUAAAUUAUGAUUUUAUGAAUUAUUUUGUUGGGGUGACAUUAAAAUUUAAUAAACUUUUAAUAAGUUUGUACAUUGAUUUAUGAAUAAUUGAUCCAUUAUUAGUGAUUAUAAAAUUAAGUUACCUUAGGGAUAACAGCGUAAUUUUUUUGAAGAGUUCAUAUCGAUAAAAAAGAUUGCGACCUCGAUGUUGGAUUAAGAUAUAAUUUUGGGUG
rnacentral:rRNA from 1 species